GCCUUAGUAACGGCGAGUGAAGCGGCAACAGCUCAAAUUUGAAAGCUGGCUCCUUUGGAGUCCGCGUUGUAAUUUGUAGAGGAUGAUUCGGCAAGGGCUCCCGCCUAAGUCUCCUGGAACGGAGCGUCAUAGAGGGUGAGAAUCCCGUAUGCGGUGGGCUGCCUAAGCCAUGUGAAUCUCCUUCGACGAGUCGAGUUGUUUGGGAAUGCAGCUCUAAAUGGGAGGUAAAUUUCUUCUAAAGCUAAAUACCGGCCAGAGACCGAUAGCGCACAAGUAGAGUGAUCGAAAGAUGAAAAGCACUUUGGAAAGAGAGUUAAAAAGUACGUGAAAUUGUUGAAAGGGAAGCGCUUGCAGCCAGACUUGUCCGCAGUUGCUCAGCCGGUCUCCUGACCGGUGUACUCUUCUGCGGCCAGGCCAGCAUCAGUUCGGGCGGUCGGAUAAAGACCUCGGGAAUGUAGCUCCUCUCGGGGAGUGUUAUAGCCCGGGGUGGAAUGCGGCCAGCCUGGACUGAGGAUCUCGCUUCGGCUAGGAUGCUGGCGUAAUGGCUGUAAGCGGCCCGUCUUGAAACACGGACCAAGGAGUCUAACAUCUAUGCGAGUGUUUGGGUGUCAAACCCAUGCGCGUAAUGAAAGUGAACGGAGGUGGGAACCCUCACGGGUGCACCAUCGACCGAUCCUGAUGUCUUCGGAUGGAUUUGAGUAAGAGCAUAGCUGUUGGGACCCGAAAGAUGGUGAACUAUGCCUGAAUAGGGUGAAGCCAGAGGAAACUCUGGUGGAGGCUCGCAGCGGUUCUGACGUGCAAAUCGAUCGUCAAAUUUGGGUAUAGGGGCGAAAGACUAAUCGAA
rnacentral:rRNA from 1 species